UACGGAGGGUGGCAAGCGUUGUCCGGAUUUAUUGGGUUUAAAGGGUGCGUAGGCGGUCCAUUUAAGUCUGGGGUGAAAGCCCGUUGCUCAACAACGGAACUGCCCUGGAAACUGGUGGACUUGAGUACAGACGAGGGUGGCGGAAUGGAUGCUGUAGCGGUGAAAUGCAUAGAUAGCAUCCAGAACCCCGAUUGCGAAGCAGCUGCC
rnacentral:rRNA from 1 species